rnacentral:ncRNA from 2 species
GCGGUUAGGAUUCCUGGU